UACGUAGGGCGCAAGCGUUUGUCCGGAAUUAUUGGGCGUAAAGAGCUCGUAGGCAGUUUGUCGCGUCUGCUGUGAAAACCUAAGGCUCAACCUUGGGCUUGCAGUGGGUACGGGCAGACUAGAGUGCGGUAGGGGGUGACUGGAAUUCCUGGUGUAGCGGUGGAAUGCGCAGAUAUCAGGAGGAACACCGAUGGCGAAGGCAGGUCACUGGGCCGCAACUGACGCUGAGGAGCGAAAGCAUGGGGAGCGAACAGG
rnacentral:rRNA from 1 species